GAAACAAAUAAAUUAUACUGUGAUGAUUUCAGGAUUAUGUUGGGAACAAGCGGUUGGAGUUAUCUGGUCACCUUAUUUCCCUACUUUUUGAGGAUUUGUUCAAGACAAUGAUUAGUGAGGUUAAGAAGACUGUGGAUACUAUUUUAACAAAGCCCAGCAGGUCUAGUCGUUUUGACUUUUCUCAGUGGAUAGUGAGAGAUAGCAUAACAAUGGGACUUGAGAGGAGCCUUUCUACUGGGAAUUGGGAUGUUAAGCGAUUUAAGAUGAGCCGGAAAGGCAUGACACAGAAAAUUGAGGAUGGGACUUGAGAAGCUAGCUUGCAAGUUAUGAUUAAACGAGUUUCAAGUAUGGUUCAUAGUCUCUCUCUUUGUUUCUUCUUGGCUGGUUGUUUAUCGAAUACAUUUUA